rnacentral:rRNA from 1 species
UUGAUCCUGGCUCAGAACGAACGCUGGCGGCAUGCCUAAUACAUGCAAGUCGAACGAAGGCUUCGGCCUUAGUGGCGCACGGGUGCGUAACGCGUGGGAAUCUGCCCUUGGGUUCGGAAUAACGUCUGGAAACGGACGCUAAUACCGGAUGAUGACGUAAGUCCAAAGAUUUAUCGCCCAAGGAUGAGCCCGCGUAGGAUUAGCUAGUUGGUGAGGUAAAGGCUCACCAAGGCGACGAUCCUUAGCUGGUCUGAGAGGAUGAUCAGCCACACUGGGANUGAGACACGGCCCAGACUCCUACGGGAGGCAGCAGUAGGGAAUAUUGGACAAUGGGCGAAAGCCUGAUCCAGCAAUGCCGCGUGAGUGAUGAAGGCCUUAGGGUUGUAAAGCUCUUUUACCCGGGAUGAUAAUGACAGUACCGGGAGAUAAGC